GCCGGCGUGAUGAAAUUGGUAGACAUGACAGACUCAAAAUCUGUUGUCCGCGAGGACGUGUCGGUUCGAGUCCGACCGCCGGUA
rnacentral:tRNA from 3 species